CAGUAGCCGCGGUAAUACGUAGGGCGCAAGCGUUGUCCGGAAUUAUUGGGCGUAAAGAGCUCGUAGGCGGUCUGUCGCGUCUGGUGUGAAAUCCCGAGGCUCAACCUCGGGCUUGCAUCGGGUACGGGCAGACUAGAGUGCGGUAGGGGAGACUGGAAUUCCUGGUGUAGCGGUGGAAUGCGCAGAUAUCAGGAGGAACACCAACGGCGAAAGCACUCUGCUGGGCCGACACUGACACUGAGAGACGAAAGCUAGGGGAGCAAAUGGGAUUAGAUACCCCCGUAGUCCCUGUCUCUUAUAC
rnacentral:rRNA from 1 species